UUAGAUGUAAAACAUUGAAUUCUUUUUUUUUUAUCAAACUGCUUACUUUCCAAAUAAAAGGUCUUACACUCCAUUUCUGGAGGAGAGAUUCAGACUGGGGAGGGCUGUCUUAGCAACCAGGUCAGCCUUGCCAUUAAUAGAAAAGGAAAUUACAUCAAAAGAUAGACUAAAAUGAUAGAUGUCAAACAGUUUCGGGCGUGAUUCCUUAGCUCUCCUCAAGAUGAUUAGAACUUGGGAAUCCGAUAGAACUACCAACGAUCAGACAUUUGACGCAGCUGCAAUCAUGACUGCUUUACGAACAGCAAUGACUUCACCCAUAAGUGCUGAAGAUACAGAAGAACGAGAAUCUCUUAUGGUUGGAGGAACAGCAGCUCCAACACCUGAAAAAUUACCACCAAUACCAUAAUUACCUGAGCUUGAGUGCGAAGCAGCAUCGACGUGACCGACAACAUGACCAGGAGAGAUCCGAGGGGUCCAGGCAACAUCCGGGAGCUGGUGCUAGCGUUUUAAACCGAAACCAGACUUUACUUGAGCAGCUUCCUAUUCUGAGAAGACUCUGUUUUCGAAGAUUAGUUUGUAAAACUUUGAAUUUAUCAUUUUAAUUUUAAUCCGACAGAAAACAAAUAAAAAGCCUAUGUUGUGUGGUUCUAUUUAAAUAUAUACAUAUAGUGGAACGUCAUUGAUAUGAG
rnacentral:lncRNA from 1 species